UGUUAAUUUUAUUGUGUAGAAGUGUGUUAACAUUACAAAUUCACUUCCAAUUGAUUCCAGCUUAGUCUCAACUUCCCGUCCAUUAUGCUGUACAGAUUUAUAUUUCUGGUGUUCAUCUUUUUAGGUGUCUUGUGGGUAUUAAUCCUGAGAGGGGGACAAAGGCAAAUGGCAAGAAAACAAGAAGCACCCCUCCUCAGGUUUCCAUGUGCUUCGAAAACUGAUGGACUGUUGUUAUGCCCUCGUCUGAAAAUGAUGGUGUGCUGGAUGGGAGAGGUCAGAGAUGAUGUUCACGGCGUUCUUGGAAAGAAAAAAAAGGCAGACUACAGCCAACGAUUUUAGAGGCCCUGUGUACUACCCUCUCAAGCCGUUGUUUGUCCUGGCUGGUGGUGGCACUACCAUACCAUGCCAGAGCAGGAUGGAGAAGAAAAGCCAAAGGACUCAGAACAUGAAGCCAAAGAAGUAGAUGAUGACUCGGUCCAGACAUACCAAAUGGAAAAGCCCAUUAAACAAAAGUAAUCAACCCUACUGGAGAUGAAAGCGAAAUUCUAAAUCAAGUUUUAACACUACAUUUCUAAGUUUCCAAAGGAUAGGUCAAGCAGAAGUAGUGCGAAAGGUGUCCUACUUGCUUCGGUAGGAGGGGGAAUGUAUAGUCUAAUAAACGUUUUUAGUCUUGCACCAAAUUGUCAAGGUACUCAUGGCUGUCAGUUAGCGGUAUAACAAUAUUUUAACACAAUUUUUAAGAAAUCUUAAGUGAUGAAAUAUAUUGCUCUACGCUUUAUAGGGCUGCUCGAUUAUUGUAAAAAUCAUUAUCACAAUUAUUUUGUUCAAUAUUGAGAUCACGAUUAUUAGACGUGAUUACUCAGUGAUUUGGA